CCGGUUUCAUGAAGGGCACCCUGAUCAGCCAUUCCGCGUGAGUGAAGAAGGCCUUCGGGUUGUAAAGCUCUUUCAGCGGGAACGAAACGGUCGAUCUUAAUACGGUCGGCUAAUGACGGUACCUGCAGAAGAAGCACCGGCUAACUACGUGCCAGCAGCCGCGGUAAUACGUAGGGUGCGAGCGUUAAUCGGAAUUACUGGGCGUAAAGCGUGCGCAGGCGGUGACAUAAGACAGAUGUGAAAUCCCCGGGCUCAACCUGGGAACUGCGUUUGUGACUGUGUCGCUCGAGUGUAGCAGAGGGGGGUGGAAUUCCACGUGUAGCAGUGAAAUGCGUAGAGAUGUGGAGGAACACCGAUGGCGAAGGCAGCCCCCUGGGUUAACACUGACGCUCAUGCACGAAAGCGUGGGGAGCAAACAGGAUUAGAUACCCUGGUAGUCCACGCCCUAAACGAUGCCAACUAGGUGUUGGGGAAGGAGACUUCCUUAGUGCCGUAGCUAACGCGUGAAGUUGGCCGCCUGGGGAGUACGGUCGCAAGAUUAAAACUCAAGAAUUUGGACCGG
rnacentral:rRNA from 1 species